rnacentral:rRNA from 1 species
AGAGUUUGAUCCUGGCUCAGGAUGAACGCUAGCGACAGGCUUAACACAUGCAAGUCGAGGGGCAGCGGGGGCGUAGCAAUAUGCCUGCCGGCGACCGGCGCACGGGUGAGUAACACGUAUGUAACCUGCCCUAUGCAGGGGGAUAACCCGGAGAAAUCCGGCCUAAUACCGCGUAACACCUUAGGGGAGCAUUCUCUUGAGGUUAAAGGAGAGAUCCGGCAUAGGAUGGACAUGCGUCGCAUUAGGUAGACGGCGGGGUAACGGCCCACCGUGCCGACGAUGCGUAGGGGUUCUGAGAGGAAGGCCCCCCACACUGGUACUGAGACACGGACCAGACUCCUACGGGAGGCAGCAGUGAGGAAUAUUGGUCAAUGGCCGAGAGGCUGAACCAGCCAAGUCGCGUGAGGGAAGAAUGUCCUAAGGAUUGUAAACCUCUUUUGUCGGGGAGCAAAAAGGCUCUGCGGAGUCGUAUUGAGAGUACCCGAAGAAAAAGCAUCGGCUAACUCCGUGCCAGCAGCCGCGGUAAUACGGAGGAUGCGAGCGUUAUCCGGAUUUAUUGGGUUUAAAGGGUGCGCAGGCGGCGUGUCAAGCAAGCGGUAAAAUAGCGGGGCUCAACCCCGUCGAGCCGUUUGAACUGGCGCGCUUGAGUUCAGGCGAGGUAGGCGGAAUUCGUGGUGUAGCGGUGAAAUGCAUAGAUAUCACGAAGAACUCCGAUUGCGAAGGCAGCUUACCAGUCUGCGACUGACGCUCAGGCACGAAAGUGUGGGUAUCGAACAGGAUUAGAUACCCUGGUAGUCCACACAGUAAACGAUGAGCGCUAGGUGUCCGGGUCGCAUGAGACUUGGGUGCCCGAGCGAAAGCGUUAAGCGCUCCACCUGGGGAGUACGCCGGCAACGGUGAAACUCAAAGGAAUUGACGGGGGCCCGCACAAGCGGAGGAACAUGUGGUUUAAUUCGAUGAUACGCGAGGAACCUUACCCGGGCUCAAACGACUCAGGAAUAUAUUGGAAACGAUGUAGCCAGCAAUGGUCUGAGUCGAGGUGCUGCAUGGUUGUCGUCAGCUCGUGCCGUGAGGUGUCGGCUUAAGUGCCAUAACGAGCGCAACCCCUACCGCUAGUUGCCAACGGGUAAAGCCGGGAACUCUGGCGGGACUGCCGGCGCAAGCUGUGAGGAAGGCGGGGAUGACGUCAAAUCAGCACGGCCCUUACGUCCGGGGCGACACACGUGUUACAAUGGCAGGUACAGCGGGAAGCCACCUGGUGACAGGGAGCGGAACCCGAAAGCCUGUCUCAGUUCGGAUUGGAGUCUGCAACUCGACACCAUGAAGCUGGAUUCGCUAGUAAUCGCGCAUCAGCCAUGGCGCGGUGAAUACGUUCCCGGGCCUUGUACUCAAGGCCCGUCAAG